rnacentral:misc_RNA from 1 species
GUUUGUUUUAGCUUAUCUAGAUGAAGACCUUAGCAUUAUUGCAAAAAAAAUUCUGUGUUGCUUUGAAGGCUGUACAUAUUGUUGGUGCAUAUGAUUCUGAGGCAAACAGCAAACUCGAGUUGGCAUUAGCAAGAACUUCUUGGAAAAUCAGAGCUCAGAGAUUGUUAGAUGGUUCACAGAAACCCUCAAUUCAAGUGCUCCAACGACAUUUGAAAGAGGGACUAGCAGUUGGCAUUCCUUCAGAAGAUUAUUUUCGACAAAGCCUGAUUGAAGUGAAGAACCUUGGGUUGCAGUGGGCUGAUAUCGCGAAGAAGGUUUCAACAGAUGGUGGCGCACUUGGAUUGGAUAAGGUUUUUGAGCUCAUCACGGAGGGUGAAAAUUUACCCGUGUCAUGUGAAAAGGAGCUUAAGUUACUA